GGUUUAGUGUAAACCCAACUCCCUCAUUCCACAGAUGCGGCUACAGAGGCCCAGAAAAGGGUGAGAGGAUUUGCCCAGACUUCUGCAAUAAGAUAGAGCAGGACUGGUUUGCAAUCCCUAUCAUGGAACCCUCACAGUAGAACUUUUGAGCUUCCUAAGCUAAGAGCAGAAGACAGUGGGAGACAGAGCUGCUUAUAUCCGGUGAGAAUAAGUCAUCUGGGACCUCUGACCAAAGAGAUGCACUUGUUGUGCUGGGUCUACAUAAACUGAACAUUCUUGGAGAAAGAAGAGGUCCAAUCCUCAAGUCAGGGAAGUAAUUGGACAAGGACUAGUGGCCCCAGAAUUUGAAUUUCCUGGGUGGUCCAGCCCUACAAACAAACAAGCAAACAAAAGGAGUUUUGAAGAGACAUUUCUUAACAUAAGCCUAGAUAAAUUCACAUAGCUAGGGUUGCUGGAUUUAGCAGAUUUAUUUUAUCUGGCAACCCUGCACAUACUUCAAACUUGCUCUCUACUACACGGAGAUUGAUAUCUCUCUCUCUCCCUCCCCCGUGUACACUCCCCCCAUCCCUCUUCCAGGAUCCUACCCACAGAUACUCCACACCAUCAGCCACACACUAACUCCAACACAGCUCAGCUCUGCUGAUGUCUAAAUAAAUGGAUAAAAAAGAAACCCCACAGCAUGACCUUAUCCUACUCCAUUUCACCUUCUGAAUGUCUUCAUUUCAAAAAUUGGAAAUCAGAAUAGCUUCUUGUCUUGCCAGGACUCUCCUCAUUCCCUAGGCUGUCAAGUUUCAGGGUAGAACUGGUUGAAGCAUUUGCUGCCCACAUCCCCUGAUUCUAAUGCUUCAAAUAAGAUGCCACCAGCCAGAAUCAUGGGACCCUGUUCUUUGGGAGAUAAAGGGGUUAGCGGGUAAUGUAGUCUCUCUGCCUCUGCUGGGCUCUGCUGCACAUUAGCUACUACUGAGAUCCACUUUGGAAAAAGGGAGUAUAAAAACCCCAGCCUUUGUUCUGUAGGAUGGGGCACGACCUUAAGGAAUCAUUCAGACUCUUCACACACACUUUUACAGUAGUGGAAACUGAGGCCCAGGAGAAUAUGUUAUUUGUCAGGCUUCUGAGGGACCCUAAGUUGGGAUGGACCCAGAUGAAUAGACUGCCAGCCCAGAACUCAUGGAUUUAUCCAAAUAACUGCUUCCCUGAAAGAGUACUGCUCUUGCUUGAGGAGUGGGUUUCUGGUAGCUUCAUAUGCCUUCGAACUGGGCCAAUUUGUUUAAAACAAUGCCUAGAGUAGGUGCACGGGGGGUCAGGGAGAAGGGCCACUCAGAGGGCAACCCAGGGAUUCAGGAUUCGUUUUGUUUUCUUCCCUUCUCAGUGGUCCCUGCCUUUUCUGCCUAUGCAUUUAGCGUCUUCCACAUCUGGCAGUGUAUCUACAGCCUCAUUUGAGUUGGUUGUGCCCUCGCAAAAACCCGCACACCUUCACCUUCACUUACGGGUACCCUAAGGCAGCCCAGAGGCUCUGCAAUUAUUGGUUACAAUGUGUAGGUGGGUGGUUGGGUCCGUUUUCAGCCUCCUCCUUCAUCUACCUCAUACUGCCUAUCUUCCUUCCUUGAGCAAUCCAGAAAGUUAAGAGAAAGCUUUCUGGGGAGAGGGUAUGCUUGUUCAGGAUUCUGAACAAGCAUACCCUCUCCCCAGAGGAGAAGUUGUUGCCUAUUUAUUGCAAAGUAUGUGUUAUUUUCAAUGGCUCCCGGGCCAUUUGUCCCUUCCUUUCAUAGGGGUUUUGCAAACUGGCCAUUCUCCUCCGAUCAGGGAAAGUAAAGCCUUCCAGCGAUUACAAGGAUAGAAUUAAGUUGCACUGCUGGAGGAAUUGGUCCAGAGACUCAGGCUGAACUAUGGCAGGCGGCCCUGGGUGAGAGCUUGCAUACCACCCACCUGCCCAGGGCCUGCUCAUCUGCACCGUGGGAGGGCCCAUGGAGGUCUCAGUUGGACCUAGCAUGACACCCACACAGUUCUCCAAUUUCGUUCAACAAUUUUCGUCCAGCCUCAGGGAAAGCAGGGAGGCGGAGGCUAGCCCCUUCCCGGCUCCCUACAGGGUUGCAGCUCUGGAAGAAGGCAUUGUUGGCCACAGCUGGUCUCCCAAUCCCUUUCUCCAUCUGGAUCUAAACCUGCUCUAAAAAGUUUGGCUCCCUUGGCUCUGGUUGGAGACUAGACACUCCAGAUCAUGUGACCCACAGGGGUGGAACUCAGGCAGCCGGCAUUGGGGUGUCCCCCGCCCCAGCCCAUCUGCUCACCCCCAGGCACCUCUGUAGCCCUGCAACUCAGCAUGACAAAGUUCAGAGAGUACGAAUUUCUGAAUUUCUGUCUUCCUCUCCUUCCAUUACUUCUGGCCACUGUCUGUACCCUGCUAGCCCCAUCUGGACUACGUGGUUGGGGGCUUGCUCUAGCAACUUGUGGCCCCAGUGCUGUGAGGCUAAACUCCCGUUUGUGGGAAGAGGGUUGCCAGCUCAGGAGGGGUUGAAAAUAGUGCUGUUCCUGUACUGUGGUGAGCACCCGCUCAGCAGAUUCUCAGAGUUAGUGGAGAGCACAUGGUUUCACAUGCUGGAGAGCAGAGUUGUGAUAGGCCAGGGGAAUGGGGGACCUUCCAAGUUUGUUGGAGUGGGAGCUCCAGUUCCUAGAAUGCUCUGGUAGGUUCCUAGGUCCCUGGAUCCAGGUGUCAGUCCUGUAUGUAUGCCUUCUCUUAGGAAGAUGGUGGAUCUGUGGCUGAGUAUGCCCCUAAAUGAGGGUCCCCUGUUGAUCUCAUGCUCUGUGUCUGCAGGGCCAGAGUGAUCCAGGACCUCCCUGGAAGGUUGAGCAUCCACCAAAGUGCAAGGUAGUGAGACCUGUUCCAAGAAUGCAAGCCCACUUCAAACCAGCAGCAGGACCCUUGCAGGGAAGGAGGGUGUGCCAAGAUGCUGGUCUGAGAAGGGAUCUAUGUUUAGGAGAGGUAGAAAGAAGUUCAUAAAAGGAUGGCGCUACUUGACAGCCAAGAAAUCUGGCACCUGGCCUUCUUCCCACCAAAUUACAGGCUACCUGCCAGUGGCACUUCAGAACUGAUGCUCUUCGGAGGAUCCUGAAUUGGGACAGGGCAAGAGGGAGGGUGCCUAGCCAUAAGGACCUGGUUCCUCUGAGUGGCACCAUCACAUUUAACCUUUCAGAAUCCCAGAGUGACUGGUAAGACCAUACUUCCCUGCAUAGGAGGGAAGAUACAGUUCCCGUGUCCCGUGGGGUAAAUGCAGAGCCACAUCACCCUGGCAGAAUCUGAGCCUAGAUGGGGUGGUGCACCAGCCAGAGCCGCUGCCUAGCUAGUGGUGGAUUCCUGGGGAACAGCGACCUCUGGAGGAACCUUGCAUCCACACAAAGUCAGGAACUUCAUAAGAUUUGAAACCAAAGCACCACUUUGCCAGCUCACCUCCAUCUAUCCCUUUAGCAAAGUCAUCCUGAGAUUCAAUCUUUGGACUCUACUCAUUGCUCAUUUGUUUCCUUUUCCAGUUCGUACCCAGGCUUCAAAUUCCUGCUAAAAUUCUGCCUCGUCUUUUGAAAGAAACCUCCAUAACCCAGCCUGUCCCCACCUCUUCGUGCUCUGAGCUCCUCAAAAAAUCGAAUGCCUAUACCCUCCAUGCAGGCUUGCUCAGCACUGUCUAGCCCACCUGCUUCCUGCCUCGCCAUUCUCCAAAGACACCGUUAAUCCACUCCACCCACCCCUUGGUAGCAAGCUGGGUAUGCUGUUUUCUCUUUCCCCACACAUACUAGUAAAUAAAGAUUGAAGUCAUUUGUCCCAAAAUUGGACUGAAGCUUUUUCAAAACUCAUUUCUCAGAGAGGGAAAUUGAGAUCCAGAGAAAAAGGGGACUUGUCUGAGGCCACAAAUUGGUAGUAGAGGUGGAAGUGGAACCCCAAUAUCCAGUUUCCCAGCCCAGAGUUCUCUUCAUCUCUUCUAGAUGGAGAGCUAGCAAUGUGGAGGAGGACUCCUUUGGACUGAGGAGGACUGGGUGGGGGAGUUUGGACAUAGGAGGCGGGAGUGAAAGGGGGAGUUUGGAGGAGGGGUCACUGCUCCAGGAGUAGGUAGUGAAGAAAGCAGGAAGCACAGUUGUGCUGGGAGAUCAGACCUCUCCUUCCUCAACCCCUGACCAGAUUAAGCUAUAUUGAAGGGCUCCAGUUUUCAGAGGUUGGCUGAAUAUCUUAUAUAAGCAGGUAGAUGGGGACCUGAGCUAGGAACAGUCUCAACUCAGGCAAAUACCACCCUUCCCCAUCAAACACUGAUGGAGAGGCUGAGAUCUCUUCUAAUAUACAUCUAGAGAUCAUGGCUGAGACCUCAGAUCAAUAGGAGGAGGCUUUCUGGUACAGAAAUGGGGAGGGUACUUUGCAGAUAACUUACCUGAGGACCCAGAGAUACCUGCCCAGAAGCCGGAAUCAUUUGCAGGACUGCUUCACUUUUGGGCACAGUGGUUGUCUGCACAGUGUACCUGGCAGCCUGGUCUUGCUCACUUAUCCAGCUUUACCUCCAUCCCCUGCAAUCCACUCACACCUGAUUUGAUGUUAUGUAUUCACUUUUGGCCUCAUUCCUCUUAAUCCUUCUUGGGACUUUUCAAAUGUUAAGCUUUAUUAGCCACUUUCCCUGACAAUACCAGACUAUGAGGGGCUCCCACCCUGGGCUCCCAGAGCGCUGUUUAAGAGUGACUAUUGUCAGGAAGUGACUUCCAGUCCAUCCCUUGCUAUGGACUGUGAGCUCUUAGAAAACAAGGAUUAUAUUGUGUUCAUCCUCAUCCUUCCUUUGCUAUAAAAUGUGGAUAAUAAUUGUACCUACUUCAUUGAAUUUUUGUGAGGAUUAAGUGAGAUAGUAUAUAUAAACCGCUUAGCCCAGUGCCUGAAACUCCAAAAGAGCUCAGUAAGUGUUUUGCACCAUCACUAUUAAUCACUGUACCUCCUGCCAGGCACAAAGCCUGACGUGUAGUAAGAGCUUAAUUGGUGUUAGGUAUGUGGGCACUUGAAUGAAAGAAAGAGUGGGUGAAUGGUGUGACUUCUCCCUUUCUCAGGGAGCAAAUUUGGACAUGUCAAUAGAGGUAUAUGUUCUCUGAGAACAGAGGUGGUUUCUCCCUCAUCCCUGAGAGGAGGGGAACACGUCUCUAGUUUCAGAACUAGAACCCCUGAUCCUAUAUCAGUGACUAAGCAAGAUUGAUAGUUAUGGCUUUUUCACAUCUGCGCAGACAAUUCAGGACGACAGUUCAAUGAUCUCAGAGACCCAGGGUCGUCUUCUCCUGUGGCUCUGUUCUUUGUGAAAGCCAACUCAACUAGCAGAAAUUCAACAGAAGGAAAUAGCGUAGAGAAAGACAGUGCACACAUGUGGGUGUGUUAUGAGGGAAUUAAAACCUAGGGGUGCUCUACCACUGAGCUACAUCCCCAGACCUUUUGAUUUUUUAUUUUUAGACGGAGUCUCACCAAGUUACCCAGGCCAGCCUUGAACUUGUUAUCAUCCUUCCUCGACCUCCCAAGUAGCUGAUAUCACAGGCAGGAACCACUAUUCCCAGCUGAAACAAAGCCUUAAAAACAGUCUUUGAUUCCCUGGAUUCAGCUCUGACUGAAACUAGAACCCUUGUCCAUGACAGUCCCUAACCCCACCAAGUCCUUGAGUUUCUCUCUGUGUUCUUUGCCUCACUUUCUGUCUUUUAAAAUGGUUAUAACAGGGUCUGGGGCUAUAUAUAGCUCAGUGGCAGAGCGCUUGCCUAGCAUGCGUGAGGCACUGGGUUCGAUCCUUAGCACCACAUAUAAAUAAAUAAAAUAAAGUUAUGCUGUCCAUCUACAAUUAAAAUAAAAUAAAAUAGUUAUCAUGAAUCAAAUCAUCUACCAGACUGAACCCUGUCAAAAUCUCUCAGGAGCCCCCCAUUGCCUGUAAUACAAAAGUCACUCUCCUUUGUGUAAUGAGUUAAAUGGAUAUACAGAUUUGGGGUGUCCCAAAUCUCCGUGUUGAAGGAAACCUCUCCUGCAGCACUCCAUGUGAUCCAAUGGGGCUGUCCAGUCUCUGUCUACCUCCCAGCUACCCCAAGAGCAGACAGGCAACCUGGCUGGAUCAGCAUUGCUAAGGCAGGACCCAGUGAUUGGUCUAAGCAGUAAUAAGUGGCGUAAGCCGAACAAAUUACUCUUUCUCCAUAAUUUGACACAUACUGCUGGGACUUGGGGGCAUAUAUAGAGACUAUGGGAUUCUGGGUUACGUGCAGUUUGAGAUCUGGGAAGGGGACUUCUCCUUUUGGAUUGGAAGACAAGCAUGCAAACUCUGCUGCCAGAACCCAUCUUUCCUGCCAUGUAGAGAAUGCUGUCUGACAUGGAAGCCCACACACAGAGAGAAACAGCCUACACCGAGAGAUGGAGUCUUAAUAACAGUGUUUGAAUCCCUAAACCCAGCUCUGCCUGAAACUAGAACCCAGAGACAUGAAAGAACUAAGUCUUCCCUUUUGCUAAGCUAAGUCGAGUUGAAUUUCACAAAUAGCAGAGCCACAGGAGCGGAAGAGCCUGGGUUCCCAAGACCACUGAACUGCCACACCACCCUGAACUGCCUAUAGACUUUAUGUGAAAAGGACAUAAAUGUCAAUCUUGUUUAAGCCAUUAAUGUAGCAUGGGGGGAGGGGGGAAUCUGUCACUGACAACUAAACCUAACCCUAAAUAAUACAGGAAGGGAUGGCAAAAUGUCCUGUAGAUAUAAAGGAAAGGUCGGGGGUUGUUAGCCUGGAUAUAAACAGUGGGUACAAUCACCAUCUCCAAAUCCCUACAGGGCUGACCUGAGCCAAAGAAACCAAAGCAAAUGAAAGCCAGAAGGCUGUGGUGAGACUUACUUUCUGUGACUCCAUGCAAGAAAAACACUCUAACAGGGCUGUGCCUCAGAGAUACAAUAGGUUACCCUGUUGGUCAGGAGCUCCCCAUCACCAGGAGUGCUUGAGUAGAGGCCAGAUCAUCACUGAGUAGAAAUCUUAGAGGCAUCGGGUAGAGCAGAAAGAGUUCAGGUAUUAGAGUUGGAUUCAAAUUGUGCUUUUAUCACUUAUUAGUCUCAGACAGGAAUGUCUCUAAGCCUCUCUCUCUUUGUUUGUAAAGUGUUCAGAUAUCUGUUUUGGAGACUAGGACCAAGGAAAUUUCUUAGCCCACUCUUGAGACCUAGCAAUCUAGCCAGAGCCAACCAUGAGUCAGGAUGUCUCAGCAAGGCUCCCCACCCUCCCCUCCAACCUUGAUAUGUCUGGGAUGUCUGUUCUAUCCUGCUGGGAGAAUGUACCUCCCUGUGAGGCCUGAAUCAAAAAGUUUGGGCUCUACUCCCAGCCUUGCCUCUCUUUAUCUUCCUGAGUGACCUUAGGCAUGCCCCAUCUCUCCCAGGGCCUCAGUUUCCUUAUCAGACAAAUGAGAAGAGCAUCCCUUCCUACAUUUCUGAAUGUGAGCAGUUACCAUUCACAGCAAUAAUAGUGAUGUUGCUGUAAGGCAUUGCCCUUCCCAGUCUCCUUGGAGCUGCCAGAACAGGUGCCUCCUCAUGCCUGGCCUACAUCAGCCCCAAAUGGCACUGACUGCUACAUGAGCUGACAUCACAGCCAACCCAGAGGUUUCUAGGCUGCUAAGGGCCUUGUUUCCAGCCAUGGAGUUUGGCUCCCUGCUUAUCCCAUGCAUGCCUUCACAGGGGUCUCUGAUCUUCCCUUAUCCACUUCCUCCAUCAAACCUGAGGCCACUCAUAUUUGAGGGGAUCAGAGGCAAUGAAAUGGGAAAUCUAAGGCAGAUCUUAGAACAUGAUCCUGCAGUCAGAAGACAAGAGUCACAACCAGAGUCCAAAUGGGGUAAGAGUGGCUUGUACCAGAAAGCCUGGAGACCUGAAAGGUGGAGGUCUAACAGCUGCUUCUCCAGACUGGGGUUGUGACUCAGUGGUAGCGUGCUUGCCUAGCAUGUGUGAGACACUGAGUUCGAUCCCCAGCACCACAUAAAAAUAAACAAAAAAAAUAAAAGUAUUUUUUUAAAAAAAGCUGCUUCUCAGCCGAGCACAGUGGUACACGCCUGUAAUCCCAGUGGCAUGGGAGGUUGAGAUGGGAGGAUUGCAAGUUCAAAGGCGGCCUAGCAACUCAGUGAGACCCUGUCUCUAAAUAAAAUUUGAAAUAGGGCUGGGAAGGUGGAUCAGGGGUUGAGCAUCCCUGAGUUCAAUCCCCUGUAACCCCUCCUCCCGCAAAAAAAAAAAAAAAUCCAAAAUGCUGCUUCUCCACACCUGCCACUGAUGCCUAGGGCUGGGGCUAGAAGAAGCCAUCACACUGGACAGCUUGAUAGUUAGGAAACAGGUUCCAGGAUGGGAAAGGCAAGUACCCAGGUUUCCAUGAUCAGAAGCCAAAAUACCUGAUGAGGGGACCUGAUGAAGGCCCCUGGAAGGAUGGCAGAGGAGUUGGAGAAGAUAAAAUUUGACCAUGGUCACCAAGGGCCCCUUUGAGAAAUAAAGGUGGAUAGCUAUUGAAAGAGCCAGUACACAGGGUGCUUGGUACCUUUACAAGGGCUACAUGGAAACCUACUUCUAGAGAUUUCUCCUGAAGAAAUGCCUGCACACAUACGGUAUGGAACACACACAAGCUCUCUUUGCAGCACUGUUUGUAAUUCUAAGAGGUUAGACAUGAUGUAAAUGCCCUUCAAUAAAGGGAUGGCUAAGCAAAGAACAGCACUUCCAUAGCAUAGAUAGUAUGCUAUGUAAAAUGAAUAAAGAAAACAGUCUAAAGUAUGUUGUAGAGUGAAAAAAAAAUUAAGAUAUGGAGCAAUGUAAACAUCUAUGCUUCUGAUUGUUGGGGAUUCUUUUUUUUUGAAAAAUCAUUAUUUAUUUGACGGAUAACUUCUGAAUUAAUAUAAAGAAAUGACAAUAACUUGUAUAUACAUUCAUUUAAAAUAUUUUCAUUAAGCACCAAGUAGAACAGUUUCUGAUCUUUUCACCAAAAACAUUUUUAUCAUUGAAAGACUGCCUCAAACUUAGUUUAUUUUGGGGGGGUGCGGCGGGGCAGGGAUACCAGGGAUUGAACUCAGGGGCAUUCAACCACUGAGCUACAUCCCCAGCUCUAUUUUGUAUUUUAUUUAGAGACAGGAUCUCACUGAGUUGCUUAGCACCUGGCUUUUGCUGAGGCUGGCUUUGAACUUGCAAUCCUUUUGCCUCAGCCUCCCGAGCCACUGGGAUUACAGGUAUGUGCCAUUAUGCUGGGCAUUUAUUUGGGUUUUUAAUCAAGAAAACUAAAGCUGCCAAUCAGAGCUUCUAACUGGCAUGAGAUGACCAGGUUAAAACCCUUAUGAGUAAAAAAUAACUUUUAAGUUUUGACCUAUACAUUCCAACCAAGGGGAGAUACACUGGCCUCAGGCUAGUCAUCACAGGUCAUAGGUCCACAAGCCAAGUAUCAUCCUCACAGCUCACAAACAAAAUGGGUAAUACGUAUACACAAAGUGAGUACAAAAUACAUGUUUCUGUAUAUUCCAGGGGAGUAAUGCCUAUUUCCCAUGAGCAUACAAUGCAGCAAGGGGCACAAAAAAAAAGACACCAUUCACUACCCACAAGACAGUGGAAAGAAUAAAAGUCCUGUGCCCUGGGAUGCCCUGGAAUGGAGUGGAGGCUUUGUGGACCAGGUGGCAUCCAGGCCACACCAGGAACAUGAGUGGAUAUCGAGACGCAUGGGGAGGGAUCUUCAGGGUUGGAAAGGACAAAAUGAACCAAGACACAGCCACAGAUCCACUGACUAUUCAGAGGACAGAGAAGUGCUUGUACUGGCUGAGGGAUAUAAUAUAUGAGUUGCAUAAAACAGAGAAAAGAAAACCUCUUCUGACAAGAGGGCAAAAUACCUUCCCCACAGAGGAUUCACAUGCUCUCUGUGGAGGUGAAGGAGCUGGGGAUCACUCUGCAGGUCACCUCCACUGUUGGGGAUUCUUUCUCUGAGGAGAAAAUCAUGUCAUAUUUGUAUUGCUUUAUAUAUAUGCAACAAAAAUGUCUAGAAGGAUGAAUAAAAAUGAAUAAUUGAUUAUCUGCUAGGGCAAAUAGGGAACAAGAAUGGAAGGGAAUUUUCAUGGGAUACUUUAUAAAAUUACUUAUUUCUUGGUACUAGGGAUUAAACGCAAGAGUGUUUUACCCCAGCCCUUUUUGCUUUUUGUUUUGAGACAGGGCCUUGCCAAGUUGCUGAGGCUGGCCUUGAAAUUGCCACCCUCUUGCCUCAGCCUCCAGUUGCUGGGAUGAAAAGUGUACACCACCACACCUAACAUUCAUAGAAUACUUUUAAAACCAAGUGAAUAUAUUACCUAUUCAACAAUUAAUUAAAUGCUUUAAAAGAAACAAUUGAAUUAUUCCAAUAAAGACUAAAUGCAGAACAUACAAUAAUAUAAACCAUUGCUAUAGCAACACUAAAAUAAUUGCUAUGGGCAACAAUAAAUACACUUCCCAUGGACUCCAACCUGAGAAGAUAGUUGGUGGAUGUGAAUAUUGAAGGCAGGUGGAUGUGAAAGCCAGAUUUAGUGGUACCUGUAAGUGUCCAUCACUGGCCCCCAGGAGGGAAGUAGGCAGGUCUGCUCACUAGGACCCCAGAUCUGCCAUCCUUCCCUCCUGUUCUGCUCCCUCUCUUUGUUCCACCUAAAUUGCUUUGAAAGUAGUCAGUUUUUUCAGUUGGCGAGGUUGGGCAGAGAUUAGGAUGAAGGGAGGCAGAGGGAUUUUCACAGAAAUCAGAAUAGCAGCUCCUUUCCUUUCCUUCAACCCAACCCAGAACCAAGUUCCUCUAGGAAGCCUUGCCUUUGCGAGCCCACAAGGCCCCAGCUGCACUCCCCAACCCCAUCAAGUCGUGGAGACAAAUGCCCAGGCUGUAGCCUGUGUCUUCUCCAAGCAGGGUUCAGAACCCCUAUCUCUAAUUCUCUCCCUCAACCACCUACAACCCAAGUCCAGCCUCCAGACAAGGACAGCCCAGGCCAAAGCCCCAGAACUGCCCAGUGAGGGAGACAGUUGAGGAAAGAAAACAGGCCCUAUCUGGAAACCCACAUUCAGGCAGAGUAGAAAAAUCUUUCCUGCUGAUUACAAAGACCACCCCCACCCAGACAUAGAGAUCAGAACACAUUCUGUCUUCAGAGGACACUAAGGCUGAGGGCAGGGCAGAGGCUCAAACUGGUGAGUGACCAGGUGACCUACAGUUCCCUCCUCUUUUGAAGCACUCUACACACUAUAUUGUCAUAUCCACCAAUAUUGACUUCUCUAAGCUGGGACAGUAUCUGCUGCAUCUCUGCAGUUGGGGAGAACAGGGCCUGGCAGAGUUCAGAAGCUUGGAAGAGUUAGGAAUUGCUGCGAGGAACAGAAAAAGGAAAGGACUUGUCUAAAUGUUUGGCCUGGGACUAGACCUCAGGUUUUCUGUCCUCAGCCCAGCAUCCUUUCCUCAAUUUCCCUCUUACAGAAUAGAUCAAUUCUCUGCACCUAGGACACCCAUCCACCCCUAUUCCAAGACCUCCUGCAGUAGGGCAGCUACCAAGGGCUGCCAAAAGGAAUGUGGAAGAUCUGGGAGGGCUUCUCAGAGGAGGUGUUAACUGCAGCCAAUUUUCCUCUUCCAUGCCAAACAACUGGGUUUCCCCCUAGAGCAAGUGCCUUUCAGCCAUCAGAACCUCCCCUCCCCACCAGCCCCAGAGAGUAUCCAAGUGGAUCCGGCUUCAUUCCAAUGAUUUCCUACUCAAGUCUGGUACAUAUGAGGUGGCCAAUAGGUGGCGCAUUUGUCCCCACAAAAUUGAUCAGGGAGAGAAAGGAGGAUGGAGUAUAAGAAAAGGAGAGGGAGAAGGGCAGCAUGGAGCUAGGGAGGGAGUUGAGAACAGAGUGGAGGAAAUAGGAAACCAAAGACCUGUCCCCUGGCUUGGAAAGAUCCCUUUCAAGAUAAGGACUGUGGGUGUGUGUGGGGAGGAUGUUGGGGUAAACUGAGAAAAGUUAUUAAUGCCCGGGGUUUUUCCAUCCGAGUUUCCACCUCCAUUCACUUCUCUGAGAAAGUAGAAUGACUUUGGAGUCAGACAGACCUGGAGUCCAGUCCUGAAUGUCACUUGGCAGUUUGACUUGGGUAAUUCACUUGACUUAUGAACUCCAGUUGCAUCAUUUAUAAAUGUGAUGAUCUGCACAGCUUAUAUAAAGGGGUGAUAAUAAUAAUCCUAAUAAUGCCAUUUUUGUAUUCUGGGGAUAAACAGCACUUGAUGGUAUACUUUUUAUAUUGCAUUCCUGGAUUCAGUUUGCUGGGAAAAUUUCCAUCUUCUUUCAUAUGUGAUAUUAGACUAUCUAUGGUGGGCUCACCCCUUCUUUACCAGGUUUUGAUAACAUAAAUAGGUAGAUUGACUUAGGAUGAUUUCCAUUUUUGUUUUUUUUCUGUAUCAAUUUAUAUAAUUAGCAAAAUAGUUUCUGAUAACUUAACAGACAACACAGUCCACCCUAGGUGCCCUCCCGUGGAAGCAAUGAGAAGAACUGCUCUGACAGUGUUUUCUUUUUUUUCUGUACUCAGAGGUCUGAAAUUAGUUACUCCUUAAAUUAGUCAACCCAGACCAGGAGUCCCUAAGCUUUCAGAGUCAGCAUGAAGCUGUGGUUAAAUGGGAAACUUUGUGGUCUUGCUAAAUUAGAAUUUCAGUUAAUGGUUGACUGUUUUCACAUAUUUGUAUGUCUACUUUUCUCCAUCUCCUCCAAGCUACCCUCCUGUUCUAGCUGGAUACUGCAGUAGCCUUUUAACUGGACUCCCUACCCCACCCCAGUUCUCUCUAACACCAUCUCCAUAGCAUACUUGGGAGCUAUGAAAUUUCCUCUGAACACAAGGUUGGCUAUAUCCUAAGGAUUUUUUUUCCCCAGUGCUAGAGAUCAAACCACACACAUGCUAGGCAAGUACUCUACUACUAAGCUAUAUUCUCAGUCCCAUUCUUUGGAUUUUAAUAUGAACUGUUCUACUUUAUUGAUUUAUGAAUAAUCUCUAAUAUUAGCUUUCUUCUAACGAAAGUUAUUUAUUUAAAUAAGCAUUUUUAAAUUUUCAUUUGCUUCACUUGAAGUAUGACCCAAUAAUAUAUUCUUAUACAUGUAGAAAAUAGAGAAUCUUGAAAUGUUUUUUCAUUGCAAUGGUAAUAUUAAAUACAUUAAUAUUUAAGCAUAAUUGGGGUCAAGGUCCUCCUUAAAAAAGAAACCUGAUAUUUAAAGUCUUCAUUUGCACUUAUUAUGAAGUGAUAUGGGGCAAUACAUGUAGAUUUUAUAAAUAAAUGUUGCAUUUGGGCCAGGUGAUGGAAGGAAUAGUUCCAGUUCGUUGAAAAGAAAAAAAAAAUGGUGGAUGAAUUUAGUCAAGACAUUCCAACCCCAAAAGAUCUGCUAUAGAGAAAUCAACACCACAUUUAGAGUGCAAGUGAUUUAGUUUCAGCAAAACAGUAUCUUUUUUUACAUUUGAGUAAUGCUGUGAACUUGAAUUUUUAUUCUGUUGCUCUGUUUGAAUUUAAUUGAUAAUAAUGUUUAACAGUUACAUAAAAAGUAGAAACUUAAGGAAUUUAUACCUACACAUACUAAGUGACAUUAUAAUAAAAUUUAAAGUCAAUACUAGAGGUCCACAUUUUUUUCCUUUAAAGUAGACCCUAUUAACCUCCUUUAUCCUACCUCUGUCCCCAUACUUCCAGGAACUCUCAGAGUUACUUCACAUGGGCUUGAAACAACCCAGUUACUACAAUGGAGGGCUCUCCACAUUACUCAUUAUUCUUUCCCAGGUAAUUGCCUGCAUUCCCAGGUGCCCAGAGGUCUGAAAAAUGCCUGAAGGAGCCUUUCUGUUGUCAUCAUUGUCAGUGUCCCUACCAAAGGUGUCAUUUUCCAAUAUACUCAUGCUUCCAUGUGCCAAGGUGAUGUUGCCUUCUUUCAUGUGCUGGACUCAGAAGGUCCUCAAACAAACUCAGCAUCAUCUUGGGCCCAAAGGUAGCAUCCAAUGGUACAAUUACCUGAAGUUAGGUCACAGCCCUCUCUCAGGGCUUUUCUUGUCAGCUCUCCUUCUAUAAGGAGUUCUCAAAGCAUCCCCCCUUCAUCCUCCUACCCACUUACCUUAACACUGAGCUACGUUCCCAGCUUCCUUGGAGGAAGUACAUACUAAGCUGAGAAAAUACUUCCCAUUCUCCUGUUCCCCAGUCUCCUCCAUAAAAGUCUACAGAAACACAGUUUUGACUCAACUAUUUCGAAGUCAAAAUGCAUGCUUUGCUUCUCAUGCUAAAACAAUCAUCUUAUUUCAGAUGUGCAGUUUCCAAAACAAUUUACCUCUGCUGGAACAAGGAAAUAAACCAAGAAAAAGGAAGAUAUGGGAUCCAGGAAGCAGAAGAUUCAAUACAGAACAGAGAUGGAGGGAAUUCCAGGUCCACAUCUGUGCAGCAGACAUGGAAAGCUGUCAGUACAGACUGGAACUGGAGGAUGGAGGGAUCUGGGAGAGAUGUCUCCAGGAAGGCAAAAGCAUGCAACUAAAAGGAGUGAUGAAUUUCAUAAUAAGUUUGACUCACAAAAAAAAGUGUACCACCAUGCUAUCAGAAGGUAUGGGAAGAUUUAGCAGUAAGUAUAAAGGAAGCUGAGCAAAUAAAAAAUCCCAAGGCAUUAUUAAUUCCAGGAAAAAUAAAAAGUUGCAUCCCCAAAGAAAGGAGUUGUGAUCAUGGUCCACUAGUAACUUACCAAAGAAUAAUAUUUAUACAGUAGUAAUAAUGUAAGUACUAAGAACUGAAUUAACCAAAAGUUGGUGAUAUAGGUAGAAAUGGGAAGAGAGAGACAUUUUAGAGGUAAAUAUUCUCUAUCAUAAUAGAAAGUUAAAUCAUUACUGUUUCAAGAGAGGAGUAUAAGCAUGGAGAUAUGGAAGUAUAUUCCAUAAGAAACAAAUACGAAUUGAAAGUAGAUAUAUAGGGGAAGAUGCAGGUUUCCUAUGAGUGGGGGGAAAUGCAGGUUUCCUAAGAGUGGGGUAAGACACCACUGUAAGCCUUUGAUUAUUAUUUGACUUGUUAGAUUAUGGGCUUCUUUAAAUUUAAUAAAAAUUAAAGUUAAGCAUUUAAAAUGUGUCUUUAGAAUAAAAUGACUUAAAGGUUUCUAUAAGAAUGAAGAGGCAAGGAUCUAUUAAACAAUUCUGAAGUUUUCAUUUAGAGUAUUUUUUCACCCAAAAGGAGAAAGAAUGUUGAAAUCUCACUAAUAGACAAAAAAUGGUGACUUUAAAGAAAGAGUUUGGUUAAGUUUUGUUUUUUGUUUUUUUCACAUGUGCCAAAUGACAU
rnacentral:lncRNA from 1 species